rnacentral:lncRNA from 1 species
CCUUUCCUCAAAAGAAACGCCUCUUUUCUGCUCUCUCUCUCUCUCUCUCUCUCUCUCUCUCUCUCUCUCCCUCUCCCUCUCCCUCUCUCUAUAUAUAUAUACAGAAAACAAAGCCUUUCUCUCUCUGUGUCUCUACGUAUAUAGAAAUAUAAAAUAUAAAACUUAUAGAUUUCUGCAAUUUGUCAAAGCAGUGAAAUUGGAGGCUUCUUUCUCUGUAAUCUGUUUUCAAAAUAAUGGACUCCAAAUUGACUGCAAAUUAAAUUUUAUUUUAUUUUAUUUUUUUGCUUAAACUACUAAUUAAGAUCUACUACUAUUUACAAUUCUGUGCUGUUUUUAAUUUCUUCAAAAAAAAAUUCUUUUUUCUUUUUUUUGCUUGAAUUGUGUAUUUUUAUGUUACUUUCUCUGUAUUUUUAUUGCCUUUCCAUAGAAAUAGUUGCAAAUAAGCUUACAAAAGCAACAGAGCAGACUUCUUUCUUAAUAGGUUCUUUAUUCUUUUUUU